GACUCAGCACCACAUGACAAGCACUUGACCUGGCUCUGUAAAGCACCCCCGAAGAUUUCCUUAACAAUGGUAUUUCCAUUCCCAUCGACACCACCAGCCUUCCUUCUUUGCUGCUGCAACUUCUUUAACCGCAAACAGGUGUUGUGGCAACCACCACCACCCUUCCUUCUUUGCUGCUGCAACUUCUUUAACCGCAAACAGGUGUUGUGGCAAGCGUCAAUGACAUAGCGCAAGAAUUCAUGGGCAUCCUCCUGUCUCCCAUACCUAAAAUGCUGGGCGAAAAUCUUUAAGCAGUGAUUAAUCUUAGACGGAGUAUCUAGGGAUGAUUCAAGACUCAA
rnacentral:lncRNA from 1 species